GGGUGCAAUCAUACCAGCACUAAUGCAUCGGAUCCCAUCAGAACUCUGUAGUCAAGCGUGCUUGGGCGAGAGUAGUACAAAGUUGGGUGAUCACUUGGCAAGUCCUCGUGUUGCACCCC